rnacentral:rRNA from 1 species
UGGGGAAUUUUGGACAAUGGGCGAAAGCCUGAUCCAGCAAUGCCGCGUGUGUGAAGAAGGCCUUCGGGUUGUAAAGCACUUUUGUCCGGAAAGAAAUCCUUGGCUCUAAUACAGUCGGGGGAUGACGGUACCGGAAGAAUAAGCACCGGCUAACUACGUGCCAGCAGCCGCGGUAAUACGUAGGGUGCAAGCGUUAAUCGGAAUUACUGGGCGUAAAGCGUGCGCAGGCGGUUUGCUAAGACCGAUGUGAAAUCCCCGGGCUCAACCUGGGAACUGCAUUGGUGACUGGCAGGCUAGAGUAUGGCAGAGGGGGGUAGAAUUCCACGUGUAGCAGUGAAAUGCGUAGAGAUGUGGAGGAAUACGAUGGCGAAGGCAGCCCCCUGGGCCAAUACUGACGCUCAUGCACGAAAAGCGUGGGGAGCAAACAGGAUUAGAUACCCUGGUAGUCCACGCCCUAAAACGAUGUCAACUAGUUGUUGGGGAUUCAUUCCUUAGUAACGUAGCUAACGCGUGAAGUUGACCGCCUGGGGAGUACGGUCGCAAGAUUAAAACUUAAAUGAAUUGAC